AGAAGUAAACCUACAAAUCAUAAUUUGAAAGAUUAAGUUCCUUUAACACUUCCUUUGUUCAAUAAUCAGCAUAUGGACAGAUGGUAUCUCUGAAUGGAGGUAAUAUUGACAGUCUGAGUCACACCAUCAAAACUCAUUCUGUGCAAGGAUAUCCUUUCAGAGGCACUUCACACAAUUGGCCUCUGGUAGGGAAGAACAGCAAUAUGGGAUACAAUGCACCUCUCCCCCUGCCCUCCCCCCAAAAAAGGUGGGAUGUCGUAACUUUACUAUGGGAUUUUGAUAUUUAGGGUGGAAAUGAAGAUUAUCAUGCUAAUUUUAACAAAAUAGUUGUGGACUGAUUUCUGUUGCAGCUAACAUAGCAGCAUUCUGACAGAAGAGCAAUUGAGUUGGCCCCAGGACUCUACUUCACCCUCUGUGCUCACAGAACUACCAGAAAUCAGCUAACUUCCUCCACAUUCAGUUAGAAAUGCUUUGGUUCACUAACAGGAUCCAGAAUAACACAGGUCUGGUCCCAAAUCUGUGGUUAGCAGUUGUUUAGCUUAAGCAAAGUCUACAAGUCAGUGAUGAUCUGAAGUCUACUCUUAGGGGAAGAAAGGGGACAGGGGAAACAAACAAACAAACUCUAAAAAACAGAAGUCCCACAAACUUACUCUUAAUAGCACUUAAAAAUGUAUUAAAAGCCCAAGUGCCUGAAUUCAAUGCAGCAUUUGGACACCACUAACUCACUUUAUGGAAUACCAAGAACCAGAAUGAUAUUUGAUUUCCUCCUCUUAUUUCCAGCCAUCUUGAGACUGUUGCGUUGGAAGAGGAUGAAACAACAGAAUUUAAUUCCCAGUGGCUGUGAUAUCUUAAAGACUGAAUCAAAUGUCCCUUCUUGCCACACCAGCAGGUAGGACCACUGAUUUCCCAAGAUUGUUCCUCUCCCUGAGUUUCAAUUAUUAGCUGCUGCCAUUACAGGAAGGCAUGCAGCCAUAUCAUAUCAGUCCAGCAUCAAGAUAACAGAAAGGAGUAUUUUAGAAACUUGUGGCACCUUCUGCACUUUCCCACCUGUGAUACUGUGUAGAUUAACUUCAGUUACAGUGAAAUAAGCCUGACCAAAAUCAGAAGCAAUGAAUUGCACUUGAUCUUGCUACAAUUGCUUGCUUCAGCAUUUCACAUUUUAGUGACCAAUAAUCUGAGAUAUCUAAUCAAAUAUUUAUGCAAAGCAAACUACUAAGUGGCCAGCCCAUGUGUUACAGAUUCCUUCCUAAGGUCUGCUUCCAACGGUAUCAUGAAUCCUGGACUGAGAGCUUGCUUUAUAGGGAAUAUCUUCAGCUACUGCUUAAACUGAGCUUUUUGGAAGGAGAGUUGGAGACUUCUUGUGACCAGGCCAUGGUACCCUCUGGAAAAGCAGAUGACUAAUCAGUUACAAGAUAAUUCCAACCACAAAAGGCAAAAGCCUCUUCCUGAAAAAGCUCAGAAGAAUACGGUUGGAGGAGGAGUCAGCUGUGUCUACCUCAGGGUCUCUGAGUGUUUCAGAGUGACUGUUUCAUUGAUACAAUGAAACCAGAGGGGGAAAAAAACAAAAACAGAACAACUUGAAUUCAGUGCAAGCCUCAGAAGCAUCCGAAGUGACAAAUCUGAUGAGAGGCAGCAGAGAAGCUGUUACUGAACAGCUCCUAUUAAAAAAGGAUAGCUACUGGCACAGCCUUGUAGCUUUCUUGCACUGUACACUGAACAUUAAAAUCAUGCAGGUAAUCCUUGUGCUUGCUCCUCUGGUGCCAGAAGUUGUAAACAAUUCAACCAUGAGAGGAAAACAAGAUAUUAGCACUACUCAAGGAAGCAUCACCUCUAAAAACAGCACAUCUUACAGAUGUGGAAGGCAGCUGCAGCCAGGUUAAUGCUCAUCUCAGUCCCUCUGCAGAAGUGCAACAGCCUUCUGCAUGUGGUUAUGUUUGGCUGCUACAUUCAGUUUCUCCAUGAUUCAUGCAACAUAACUGCAAUGAAAAGUGGAUAUUUUAUGUUUCUUAUGUCUGGCCAAUCAGGUCUGUAAGGAAUCUAUUGUAGGAACAGUAUCUUUAAAGGAGACUGAUGGAGGGUUAUGUUGUUUAACAGUUUAAUUCAAAAAUCUAAAAGAAACAGUUGGGCAACAUUCACUGAACAGACCCAGGGGAGCUCAAGGCAAGGCAGGGUGGGACUGAACUUCCCAGAUACCAUCAUUCUGUAGAGUAGAUUCUGCAACUAAAUUUGCACUGCCACUUUGGCUUUGCUCACCUGCCUAGGCAUAAGUAGUGCAGCUGACCUUUUAGGUUUCUUCACAAAUAUAACAACGUAAUGGAUCAUUUACAGCAUGACUGGGUACCUGAAAAACUGGCUCCUAAUCUCACUGGAUAAGCACUUAAAGAAAAAUGACCUAACAGUAAUUUUUCUUCCUUUCAUGUGUAUCAUCCAUAUGCUGAAGUGUGUACUGUGAUCACAAGUCUUCAGUCACUGGAACCAUGCCAGAGACAAACUGAAGGCAAAACAGAUGUUAGCCUCUGCAUAAACAAGGUUGAAAACCUUUGUGUGUGUGUGUGAUGUACACUGCCAGCCUCGGGAGACCUGCUAACACAAGCUAUGGCAAGGCUGGCUUUCUGCAGGAGAUCGUAAGCACUGAUGGUACAAAAUGUUGGCUUAGGGAAUGGCAUUUGUUGGAGAUCUACAAGACAGAUUUCAAAAAUUAAAAAUAAAUCAAUGCUUUUGUCCAGUUUGAAUCACACACCACCACUCCAAGCUUAAUCCUUCCACUUUCUUUUUUCUUCUUCUUUUGUUCUUCACAUACUUUUUCUUAAAUGUCCUGUACGUGCCAGAAAGAAUAGAGAGGCCUCAGCAUUCAUCUUUGGCAAGAGAGCAUUCAGACCUAAGUUUCAAAUAAAACAGAAAGAUCCACAACAGACUGAUUAAAUCAUGGAAUUAGAACCACCAGACCGAUGAUCUCUGGAGAAAAGCCUGUCAUCUUAUAUUGUAGACUAAUACUUGUGACACUUGGGAUAUGAGGCAUCAUUUUUAUUUUUUUUUCCCCUAAAAUUCAAAUGAAGCCACACCAAAAAUCUUUCCUUUCAUAAAAGGUUUCUACUCCCUGUAAUAAACAGGAAUCUGAAAUUAUGCUUUCUGUAAUUCAUGCACGAAAGAUUCUAUGUCUUGAAAAUAAAAAAUAAAAAUAAGGGCUGAGAUGCACUGUACUUCUCGCCAUCCUCAACUCUUAAGUUGCUCACAUGUGCCAAGUGCUUCAGGUCAGGCAGUCAUCCAAAAAUGGUGCCUUAUAAAGUUUCUCAAAACCUCCUCAGGCAGUUGUAUGUCUCUAUGCCUUCCAGGGAGGCUUUGCAUUUGUCUGGAACAUGUUGUAACAGCAAGGCUGCUUUGUUGGCCCUGCACAGACCUUUAUUUCUCCCCUACUUUCUCCCACGUUGGAAAAGAAUCUGAAUUCAAAUACUGCACUGCAAACAUUAUACCAUAUUAAGAAGGACCACAGUCAUAGCUUAGGUUUUUACAUUUUCACUCAGUGCAUAUAUAUGGGAUGUAAUGAGGGAGAGGUAAAGAAGAUGUUGGAGUGGUUUGUUAUGACUGACAUUAAAUUCAUCUACAGGAUCAGAAACCAAGCAGGAAAACCCCAGUCAGUUGGGCCAGUCAAAUCAACAGAGCUUCCUUUUACACGCAGCAACCUCAGCAUGUCUCAGAUUUACAUUUCAAAAUUGCCUUCUGUGCUCCUUGUGCACUAGGCCUAAGCUGCUAAAGUUUCACUUGAGAGAAUCUGUUUACAGCCAACGCCUUCUCACAGGAAAAAGCAGGUGACAGCCCAUCCAAUAACUUGGUCUGCUUCUGCAACCCUAUUUGGGCCAACUCCUCCAGCAGAACAGCUACCCUUACAGCCUGGCUACCAACAGCCUGCAUCUGUAUGUACCUCCAUACCAUACGCAUGGUAUGAAGGUACAUAUGCUUCGACAUAUCAGCACUAGCAGCUAGGAUGAGCUGGAAACCCAGAAACGAGGCAAUGGGAAGUUGAGGAAGAAAGACAAACUGUGCAAUGUAGCAACUUGCACCUGCAGGGAAACUCAUUCUCAGAAAAAAGGCAACUAAGUUUGUCCCCAGCACUCAUUCGCAGGAAAUCCUUUAUUUUGGAACACAAGGAGCAAGGAGAAGUUUGCAGGACUGACUCCCAUUAAAAGGUCACAUCAGGCAGUGACAGUAUUUUGCAAAAAAUAAAAUAAAUUAGGCUUAGAAAAUAGAAUUUCUCGAAACACACGAGGCAAAUCUCUUGGAGGAAGAACAGCUAAUUAAACUAAAUGCCAGUGUUGGCAUGAGCACAAAUAGUUUAAGAUGGUCAUGAGUGUAUUUGCACAGAAGUUCAGAGGACUACAGAGUUAAGUUUGGGUAACGGAGAAAGAAAACCAAUUAACUCUCAAGAGGAACUUAAGUUCUUAGUUAAGAAUCUAAAACAUGGGUGCCUGCAGUGUUAAGGCCUGAGCUUAAACGCACUCAAGGCAACUUGUUGUCAAUGUAAUUCUUGACAGGACAAAAGGAAAGAGAUCUUCCAGUAAGAUAUGCAUAUCUGUAGCCAAUCCAGCUGCUCUUUCUCGAGGUGUUAUCAAAGCCUUUUCAAAACGAUACCAGCUAGAUGUACACAGCAUAUCACAGUUCCAGCAGUCCCAGAGACUAAACUGAAGAGCAGUAUUUGCCAACAACAUGAGUUUUUAGCCAGUGGGAGGCAGAUUUUAUCUAGCUGGUCGCAAAGUGGAAGCUGGUG